rnacentral:rRNA from 1 species
AUUGAACGCUGGCGGCAGGCCUAACACAUGCAAGUCGAACGAGUGGCGGACGGGUGAGGUAUGUCUGGGAAACUGCCUGAUGGAGGGGGAUCACUACUGGAAACGGUAUCAUAUACCGCAUACCCUCGGAUGUGCCCAUAUGGGAUUAGCUAGUAGGUGGGGUAAAGGCUCCCCGAGGCGACGAUCCCUAGCUGGUCUGAGAGGAUGACCAGCCACACUGGAACUGAGACACGGUCCAGACUCCUACGGGAGGCAGCAGUGGGGAAUAUUGCACAAUGGGCGCAAGCCUGAUGCAGCCAUGCCGCGUGUAUGAAGAAGGCCUUCGGGUUGUAAAGUACUUUCAGCGGGGAGGCGUUACCCGCAGAAGAAGCACCGGCUAACUCCGUGCCAGCAGCCGCGGUAAUUC